GAUUGCUUACGGGAGGCAGCAGUGGGGAAUAUUGCACAAUGGGCGCAAGCCUGAUGCAGCGACGCCGCGUGCGGGAUGGAGGCCUUCGGGUUGUAAACCGCUUUUGUUCAAGGGCAAGGCACGGUCUUUGGCCGUGUUGAGUGGAUUGUUCGAAUAAGCACCGGCUAACUACGUGCCAGCAGCCGCGGUAAUACGUAGGGUGCAAGCGUUAUCCGGAUUUAUUGGGCGUAAAGGGCACGUAGGCGGUUCGUCGCGUCCGGUGUGAAAGUCCAUCGCUUAACGGGGGAUCCGCGCCGGGGACGGGG
rnacentral:rRNA from 1 species